ensembl:lncRNA
UUUCCACUUAUCUCAUCUGGCAUCAGCCACCCAGGGGCUUGUUUUCAUAUGAAUGAGAAUGUUACUCAGCUUGGUCUUUGUGUAUUUCCCCCCCAAAAGCUAUUUGUCUUAAUCAGCAUCUCUAACCGGAAGGCGGAAGGCGAAGGCACCCCACUCCAGUACUCUUGCCUGGAAAAUCCCAUGGACGGAGGAGCCCGGCUGAAAACAGACAUCCAUCUGGAUACAUGGAGAACACCUGCACCAGGCAGGAAAACUAGAGGCACGAGAAAGACGCGGGGCGGAGUCACAGCUGCCCUUAGAAGGUGACCCCGGCAAGAGGCAUCCACAGUGAUCUCUCAUGCCAGGAGGUGGGUCUCUGCUUUUCUCUGCACGAUUUGCCCAGGAAUGUCCACUCUGCCUCCAAAAGCCUGACUCGAAGACCUGGCAUGCAUGUGCGUGCGGGUUAAGUUGCCCCAGUCAUGUCUGACUCUUUGUGACCCCAUGAACCAUAACCUGCCAGGCUCCUUUGUCCAUGGGAUUCUCCAGGCAAGAAUACUGGAGUGGGUUGCCAUGCCCUCCUCCAGAGGAUCUUCCCAACCCAGGGAUCGAACCCAGAUCUCUUAUGUUUCCUGCAUUGGCAGGCAGAUUCUUUACCACUAGCACCACCUGGGAAGCCCGGCAGACCUGGCACCUGGAGCCAGCUUCCAUCAGAAUCAGGGAAGAAAUGAAAUGAGAAGGAACCGGCUGAGUUGAGGAGAAAGAGAUGCUGAGUUUAGGAAGCCUCAGUGCUCUUGCGGCUGUGGAUUGAAUAUGAUCCUCAGGCCUCAGACAAUAAACCAACCAACCCAGACAAUAAACGGGAAAGUGAAAGUCACUAAGUUGUUCCGACUCCUUGCAAUCCCAUAGACUAUUUAGUCCAUGGAAUUCUCCAGGCCAGAAUUACCAGGGUGGGUAGCCUUUCCCUUCUCCAGGGGAUCUUCCCAACCCAGGGAGCAAACCCAGGUUUCCCACAUUGCAGGCGGAUUCUUUACCAGCUGAGCCACAAGGGAAGCCCAGGCUGGCGUGGGUAGCCUAUCCCUUCUGCAGCAGAUCUUCCUGACCCAGGAGUCGAACCGGGGUCUCCUGCAUUGCAGGUGGAUGUUUUACCGACUGAGCUAGGAGGGAAGCCAGACAAUAAAAGCGGCAGACAUCUGGAGGUAGAGAUAACAGGUGAUGAGCAAGUACCCAUCUGAAGCAUCGCCUGUCCCUCAGCUCAGGUCAGACCUCUCCUCCCUCAGUGCCUGUUUCCUGGCCUGCAAAACCAGGACAACGUUAAAUCACUUCACUUAUUCCCUCCAUGAAUGAGUAUAGAGUCAGGCCCAGAGACUGGGGCCAAGAGCUAGGAAAACGAAAUACUACAGCCCUUCAACUAAAAGCACCUGUGCCUCCCUAUUGAGCCGUCUUCUGAGCUUGCAGAGGGCCUUCACGUCUGACCCCACCCAGCCCGGGAGGGAGGAAACCUCCAGAUGAAAACUCCAAGGAUGCGGGGCUUCAGUGCUCUGUCCACAGCUCCAUAACCACUCAUGGCUGGACCGGGCUAUGGAAUUGGGUCUCCAAGGUAGGAGGACCACCCAGGUGGCCCACAGGUUUGAGGGUAGACUGUAAUGGAGAGGUCUUGGAGGGGGGAGGUGGGUGCUAUAGGCUGGAGGUUUGUGCCCCCCGAACAUUCAUGUUGAAAUUUUAACCCCCAAGGUGAUGGUAUUAGGAGGUGGGGCCUUUGGGAGGUGAUACAUUCAUGAGAGUGAAGCUAUGAAUGGUUUCAGUGCUCCUAUAAGAGGGGUUUAAGAAAGCCCCCUUGCCCCUCCAGGCAUGUAGUUAUAGUGAGAAGACGGCCAUCUGUGAGGAAGUGGGUUCUCACCAGACACCCAACCUGCGGCACCUUGACCGUGGACUUCCAUCCUGCUCAUCGGAACCUGUGUCCUUGGAGAACUGAGCUUCCAUGCGUGAAAUCCCACUCUCCUAAGAUGACAUCCCCGAGAGACCAUGUGGCAAGCUCUGGAUGGCAGCCCCCGCCACGCCCAUGCUUCAGAGAGAGACCUGGUAGGUGAGCCAAGAAGACUUCUGGCCUCCAGAGUCCAGCCAUGGACGUCUCCCCAGGCACCGCAGAGCCAAGGAGGCCUGUGCCCUUCUGCAUUGCCUGCCCACCAUUUCCGUGACAUCAUGUGGUCAUUGCUUUACAUCCUGCAGUGUCAAUAGAGUUGUUCUGCAGCAAUGAAUCAAUCCCAACAAAGCCGGGCCUGAGCUAAGGACACUGGUCACACUGGUCUGGCCCCAGGUGCUGAGGAUGACUCUCCAGGGCAAGGUGGGAGAAAGUGGCUUGAGUGUCAGUCAUCCCAGCACCAGGAGAGACCUGCAGGGAACUUGGAAGCUCUGCAGCCAAGGAAGUGAGGCUACAGGUGAGGAGGGACAGCUCCAAGUCCUGGCAGUGGUGAAAUUAGCGCUCCCUUGGCAGGCAAGGCUUCUGAUGGUGUUCUACAGCCCACUCCUCUGGCCUGUCCAUGGAUCUUGGAAGCACGCUGCCCCCAGUAUUAAAUCCUUUUUUUUUUUUUUUUUUGCAGAUGAAAGCCAGAGUAGUGUCUGAUACCUGCAACUUAAUCUGCCUGGGGCAGAGUCCACUCACCCUGCUUAGAUAACUGAUCAAACCUGAUGCUGAUCCAUUUCAGAGACCGCAUCCCAGCCUUUUCACUGAUUCUCUGUGCUCCCCAGAACUCUUCCAGUAAAUGCCCUUUGCUUUGCCAAAAUUGCUUUCUGUUGCUUGCAACCAGAAAACCCCAACCGAAAUAAAAGUUAAGUUGCAAAUUACAAGGAUAUGUUCUAUUUAAUCCCAUGUUUGAAGAACUCACUUUUCAGAUGAUCAACAGUGUAGAAAAGAAUGAUGAUUUCCAUAGGAUGGAAAGAUGUAAUUAGGAAUUUUUUUUUUUUGGUCUUUAGGAGUGGCUUUUUUGUAUUGAAAAGAAUAUUCAGGAGCUACUUUGUACUUAAAGUUAAUACUCAGGUAAUUCAAAGCCUUGGUUUUCUUGAAGUUUUUAAGUUCAAUUUAGAAAUAAGUUCUAUUUAUAAAUCUUUCAAAUUUUCACAAAUGAUUUUAAGAACACUUUCAUAAUUUAAUUGAAUUCCUUUAAAUAUUUUUAGCUGUACUGAUAAAGCCAGCACACUCAAUUUCCUUUUUAAAGUAAGUCAGUGGCUGGCAAACCGAACAACUUUUCCAAGUACCUAAGAAAUUCUUAGAAAUCUAAUAAAAUUUAUCGAGAUGAUGAUUAAACUCUUCUACAUAUUCCUAUGUUGUUUAAAGACUAAAGCUGUCUUGGACAUUUCAGCUUAAAAUCUAGAUGAACUGCUCAGUCCUCUAAUAAGCCAAAUUC